CCUGAAUCCAGCCAAUGCCGCGUGUGCGAAGAAGGCCUUCGGGUUGUAAAGCACUUUUGUCAGGGAAGAAAUCCUUUGGGCUAAUACCCUAGGGGGAUGACGGUACCUGAAGAAUAAGCACCGGCUAACUACGUGCCAGCAGCCGCGGUAAUACGUAGGGUGCAAGCGUUAAUCGGAAUUACUGGGCGUAAAGCGUGCGCAGGCGGUUGUGUAAGACAGGUGUGAAAUCCCCGGGCUUAACCUGGGAAUUGCAUUUGUGACUGCACGACUAGAGUGUGUCAGAGGGGGGUGGAAUUCCACGUGUAGCAGUGAAAUGCGUAGAUAUGUGGAGGAACACCAAUGGCGAAGGCAGCCCCCUGGGAUAACACUGACGCUCAUGCACGAAAGCGUGGGGAGCAAACAGGAUUAGAUACCCUGGUAGUCCACGCCCUAAACGAUGUCAACUAGUUGUUGGGGAUUUACUUCCUUGGUAACGUAGCUAACGCGUGAAGUUGACCGCCUGGGGAGUACGGCCGCAAGGUUAAAACUC
rnacentral:rRNA from 1 species